rnacentral:rRNA from 1 species
AUUGAACGCUGGCGGCAGGCCUAACACAUGCAAGUCGAGCGGAUGAAGGGAGCUUGCUCCUGGAUUCAGCGGCGGACGGGUGAGUAAUGCCUAGGAAUCUGCCUGGUAGUGGGGGAUAACGUCCGGAAACGAGCGCUAAUACCGCAUACGUCCUGAGGGAGAAAGUGGGGGAUCUUCGGACCUCACGCUAUCAGAUGAGCCUAGGUCGUAUUAGCUAGUUGGUGGGGUAAAGGCCUACCAAGGCGACGAUCCGUAACUGGUCUGAGAGGAUGAUCAUUCACACUGGAACUGAGACACGGUCCAGACUCCUACGGGAGGCAGCAGUGGGGAAUAUUGGACAAUGGGCGAAAGCCUGAUCCAGCCAUGCCGCGUGUGUGAAGAAGGUCUUCGGAUUGUAAAGCAAUUUAAGUUGGGAGGAAGGGCAGUAAGUUAAUACCUUGCUGUUUUGACGUUACCAACAGAAUAAGCACCGGCUAACUUCGUG